ACCGGGUUGGCUCAGUUGGUGGAGCGUCUGACUCUUGGUUUUGGCUCAGGUCAUGAUGUCACAGUUUCGUGGGUUUGAGCCCCACAUCCGGCU
rfam:Felis catus isolate Cinnamon breed Abyssinian chromosome E2, whole genome shotgun sequence.